AUCCAGACUCCUACGGGAGGCAGCAGUGGGGGAUAUUGCACAAUGGGGGGAACCCUGAUGCAGCGACGCCGCGUGGGUGAAGGAGCGUUUCGGCGCGUAAAGCCCUAUCGGCAGGGAAGAAGGAGGACGGUACCUGACUAAGAAGCCCCGGCUAACUACGUGCCAGCAGCCGCGGGAAUACGUAGGGGGCAAGCGUUAUCCGGAUUCACUGGGUGUAAAGGGAGCGUAGACGGCGACGCAAGUCUGGAGUGAAAGCCCGGGGCCCAACCCCGGGACUGCUCUGGGAACUGUGCGGCUGGAGUGCGGGAGGGGCAGGCGGAAUUCCUGGUGUAGCGGUGAAAUGCGUAGAUAUCAGGAGGAACACCGGCGGCGAAGGCGGCCUGCUGGACCGCGACUGACGUUGAGGCUCGAAAGCGUGGGGAGCAACCAGGAUUAGAUACCCCAGUA
rnacentral:rRNA from 1 species